rnacentral:rRNA from 1 species
AGUGAACGCUGGCGGCAGGCCUAAUACAUGCAAGUCGAACGGCAGCACAGUGGAGCUUGCUCCAUGGGUGGCGAGUGGCGGACGGGUGAGGAAUACAUGGGAAUCUGCCCAGUCGUGGGGGAUAACGUAUGGAAACGUACGCUAAUACCGCAUGCGCCCUUCGGGGGAAAGUCGGGGACCGCAAGGCCUGACGCGAUUGGAUGAGCCCAUGUUCGAUUAGCUAGUUGGCGGGGUAACGGCCCACCAAGGCGACGAUCGAUAGCUGGUCUGAGAGGAUGAUCAGCCACACUGGAACUGAGACACGGUCCAGACUCCUACGGGAGGCAGCAGUGGGGAAUUUUGGACAAUGGGCGCAAGCCUGAUCCAGCCAUGCCGCGUGCGGGAAGAAGGCCUCGGUUGUAACCGCUUUGUCUAGGAGAAUACCUUGUAGCUAAUACCU